rnacentral:rRNA from 1 species
CCUACGUGUGUCAGCAGUGAGGAAUAUUUGUCAAUGGACGAGAGUCUGAACCAGCCAAGUAGCGUGAAGGAUGACUGCCCUAUGGGUUGUACACUUCUUUUAUAAAGGAAUAAAACGAGGCCAGUGUGCCUUUUUGCAUUUACUUUAUUACUAAGGAUCGGCUAACUCAGUGCCAGCAGCCGCGGUAAUACGGAGAAUCCGAGCGUUAUCCGGAUUUAUUUGGUUUAAAGGGAGCGUAGAUGGGUUGUUAAGUCAGUUGUGAAAGUUUGCGGCUCAACCGUAAAAUUGCAAUUGAUAAUGGCAGUCUUGAGUACAGUUGAGGUAGGCGGAAUUCGUGGGGUAGCGGUGAAAUGCUUAGAGAUCACGAAGAACCCCGAUUGCGAAGGCAGCUUACUAAACUGUGACUGACAUUGAGGCUCGAAAGUGUGGGUAUCAAACAGGAUUAGAUACCCUUGUAGUC